UCACCUUUAUAAUAAAAUAAUUAAAGGAUCCAAUGUAAAUUUUUCAUCAUCCAUUGCAUAUUCUCACCAAUCAGCAGUAAAAAAAGAAACUAACCAGGAAGUGAGGUAUGCAUCCGAUGAAGACACUAUGUCAAAUGUUAUUGCUCUUGAGGGAAAAACCAAUGAAAUCUCAGGAAAAGAACAUGAGCAAAUCUCUGAUGUAGAUUCUCAGAAAUCAUUAUCUGAUAAAGGCACGAUUGAAGUUGCUACUGCUCAUGAGGAAAAAAUCAGUGAAAAUUCAAGAAAAGAACCUGAGCAAGUCCCUGAAGUAGAUUCUCAGAAAUCAUUAUCUAAUGAGGGGACGAUUGAAGUUGCCAC
rnacentral:lncRNA from 1 species